rnacentral:lncRNA from 1 species
GAGGAACUACACUUCACAAUUAGCAAAAGAUACAAAACAGAACCGCCUCCAAACAGAUCUAUAUCAGAUACCAAUAGAUUGUAUGCAGAUUACUGAUAAGAACACAAUCACAAGGUUCACCGACCAUGUCUUUAAACGAUAAAUAAGCAACAAAACACUCGUCUUAAUGCAUUAGAAGAUCCAACAUACUAAGAGAACAUUUCAACUUUUGUGCUUCUGCCCAACCAAAAUACCAGCAUCCACCACAGCCCAAUCACAUGAACAGGUUCGGCCUCGUCGCCUUGUAGGUGGUCUUCAGCUUCCUGGUUGGUGGCCUGACCUUUUGGUACACAAGGGGGAACUUGAUCUUGGAGUUGUGGAACUGCUUGGUGUUGUCUCUCUUGCAUAGCUUGAAGUUGACAGUCGCGGUCUUGAUGAUCUGAAUGCAGGGGGAUCUCACACGGUGGCGAGAGGCCAUUUCAGUGUACAUCUGCUCCACGGCACCAUUCAGUGUGGUGUCACGGUACUCCUUGUACAUGUUGUGGUAGCCGGUUCUGCUCUGGUAACGCAGCCAAAUGCCAUAGUUCUUGAUCGUGGUUGGGUUCUUCUCAAAGAUCUGACAAGAAAAAGAGUAAUUCAGUGCAAAAAUAACAAUCACAUGGCAUAAUUGAGUAAAAAAGAAUCAGUGGAAAAAUGAGGUUCCAAUUGGUUCCCAAACCAAGAAACUAUGGAUUAACACCAGUCGACCACAACAUACACGUUACACGAUUAGAAAAAGGAAAAUCACAAAUCAGAAAGUAUACGUGCCCGCAUAAUCAAGAAAUCUAGAGACAACUCAUAUGGGUCCCUUCAGAUGAAACAGGAUGUGGCAACAAGAACUCACAGAACUUUUGUGGUCCAAGUCCUUGUAGUGAAUACAAAUUAGAUUAUGCAAAACAGAGCCUUCGGACAUCAGAAUGAAGUAUCAGAAGUAAUUUACACAUAGAUAAUGUAAAUACAACUACAGAUACAUGUUUUCGCAAGAAAAUCACAUACAUCAUGAUCACAACAAGAUGGAAGGGGCAUCACUGCAUAUGCAAACACAACUAGAAUAAUUUUAUGUUGCAUUCCGACUAAUUAACGCCACAGAGAGUACAGAUAAAACUACCGAUGCAGUUGUAAGAAUGGAUCGAUAAAAGGAGCUAAUUAAGCCGCUCUCGGUUGGUGAUUGUAAUGUACAGGAAAGAACCAAAAGGUGGAACAUAAUCCAAGCUCAGGGCAAAACAUAAGAGGAGAAAGGCCCAAUACCUCGUUGAUGGCGAGCAUCUGGCCGUUGCUCUUCUUCACCUUCUUCAGCUUCCUCAGGAAAUACCUGCACAGACGAGAAAACAGCGAUCAGGAAUACCGAAUCGAAGACGGACAGAUCCUUCAGAUGUCGCGAGGAGACGGGGAGGAGCUCACCAGAACUUGCUCUUGGCGCGCACCUCGUUGGUCGCCCAGAGCUUCAUGCGGUAGAUCUUCGGCUGCUCAUCGCCGGGCGUCGGCAGCGCGCGACCCACCACCUGGUACUGAUGGAACUGCACACGCACGGACGCAUUGAGACGAAUCAAAAACACGGAUCAAGCGCGGACACGGAGUCGUCGAGGAUAGCAACGGCCGGGAGGCAGCACUGGAACUUACCCUGAAGGCCACCAUUUCCGCGAGCUCUGCGAAGCCCCUAGCCUAACCUAACCUAAG